rnacentral:rRNA from 1 species
GUCUACGGCCAUACCACCCUGAAUGUGCCCAAUCUGAUCUGAUCUUGGAAGCUAAGCAGGGUUGGGUGUUUUUAGUACUUGGAUGCAAGAAAUGGUUACCCCAGAGAGU